AUAGACCCCAGUGCGCCCCAACAUUUAGCGUUGCAAAGGGACAUGCAGGCCUCGAAGGAAAUUAAAGAAGCUGUGGAAGGGGGAAGGAAAAAUCAACUGUCCUCCAUCCCCCAUUCUUUCCAGGCCAUUAGUGUGCCAGGCAUUUCAUUCCUUCAGCUGCCGUUGAGGGCCACUCCCCAUAUAUAUUGCAGGAAAGGGAACGGGUGUCUAGACUUGGCGUAAAGAACCACCCGCGCCCCAAAGCAGAGCGUCAACCUAUCACCCCAGACAGCACGGCGGGGACCCGGGGAGGGAGACCUUUUUCUCCCCCCUCUCCUCUAUGCCCCUUCUGAUUUAAAAAAAAAAAAAAAAAGAGGAAGAAAAAGCAACUGAAGUGGCGGGGACAGAGUGACAGAUCUCUCACAAGCUGGGCCCCCUGCCACGGGUCCCGGGGGCUGAAGACACGGUGGUCGUACCCCCAGCCCCGCGCUCCCCGGUUCUGCCUGCCCCUUCCCGGGAGCUGACAAGCGAGCGCUGACCUUGGAGGCCAGAACAAGAACCCAGGAGGCUGGGGAUCCGCCCUCGGGCCAGGAAGGCCGACGCCACGGUACCUGCGAGACCCGCCAUGGCGCCGCCGCCGCUGCUGUCGCCUUCGCUGCCGCGACCCUCUUCCACCUCAGCUCGCCACCGACGCCGCAGGAAGCCGGGGAGCCGCCCCCUUCGUCUUCUAGUCGAGCCGGUCGAGGACCCCUCCUGGAAUCGGGCUGCCUACAGCAGACGCCUGAUCCAGCGACCUAAAUUCUGGGGGCUCGCCCUGGCCUCAUACGCUCCUAACAUUUGCAUAGAUGACCAUUUGAAGAUUUUUAUUAGUGUGUGCCGAAAUCUGCGGGCUCUGGACUCUUCAAAUCCGAAGAGUUUUUGAUCAGGCGCGUCCUGAACAGCCCCGAGUCACAGCUCCCUUGGUCCCCUCAUGCAUAUGCAGUAGAUUGUGAUCUUUGCACUCGGGGAGCGGAGUGGGUGUACCCUAGUCUCCGUCCAUUCCAGGUCUGCCCCGCUGUCCUCAUGUUGGUUUCGUACUCACGGUCAUAAAAUGGCCACCCCAGAUCCUGGAGUCCCAUCCACAUCAAGGAGAUGACCAUUCCCCCAGAGAAGAGGAAAGGAAGAUUCAGGAAAAUGAAGCCAGGAAGUCACCUAAGGCUACACAGCUGUAGAUGACAGAACAGGAUUUGAACCCAGGCCGUGUGGACCUGAAGUUUGCAUUUUUAACUCCUCUAUGUCAGGCCUCUGAAUGAAUGCUGAGAAAACAUGAAAAAUCAUAUUCCUGCCUCAUGCAGAACAUAAUUAUAAUUCAUAGCUGUUUUAGGGACAAUAAGUGAAGCUUAGACUUUCAUGCUUGAAUAAGCUGUAACAUGUCUCCCUAAUAUUCCUUGGAGAAUUUAGGACCGAG
ensembl:lncRNA